GGUGGCUCAGUGGUAGAGCGCUUGCCUUGCAAUGGAGGCCCUGGGUUCGAUUCCCCAGCACCA
rnacentral:tRNA from 1 species